rnacentral:lncRNA from 1 species
GGCUGGUUCCCAGCUUUCUUGUUUGCUUGCUCUCUGUACUCAGUGAGAGGGCUUAGGACAGAGAGCCUCUGUCAAACUCAAGAAGGCAUAGAACCACAAACGCCCUUAUACUUGUCUCUUUCAGAUGAAGUUGCGUAUUUGUUGAGCAAGAAGCAGCUUACAUAGAAAGAAGUAAUUUAGGAUUCCUCUUAGAGAAGAAGACAAGACUUGGGUUUGCACCCUGACCUGCACAGCUGCACCAGGCAGGAGGAACUAGAGGAAAGGCCAGCCUCUGCAGGAACCACCAGAGAGAAAGCAGGUGGAGGACAGUAUGUCCCAGCUUGGAUGCUGCUAGACAAACUAAUGCUCCCAUCACCCCUUCUCAGAAAUGUUACUAGCAGGUCCCAAUCCAC